rnacentral:rRNA from 1 species
CCUACGGGUGGCAGCAGUGGGGAAUAUUGCACAAUGGGGGAAACCCUGAUGCAGCGACGCCGCGUGAGUGAAGAAGUAUUUCGGUACGUAAAGCUCUAUCAGCAGGGAAGAAAAUGACGGUACCUGACUAAGAAGCCCCGGCUAACUACGUGCCAGCAGCCGCGGUAAUACGUAGGGGGCAAGCGUUAUCCGGAUUUACUGGGUGUAAAGGGAGCGUAGACGGCAGCGCAAGUCUGGAGUGAAAUCCCAUGGCUUAACCAUGGACCUGCGUUGGAAACUGUGCAGCUAGAGUGCAGGAGAGGUAAGCGGAAUUACUAGUGUAGCGGUGAAAUGCGUAGAUAUUAGGAGGAACACCAGUGGCGAAGGCGGCUUACUGGACUGUAACUGACGUUGAGGCUCGAAAGCGUGGGGAGCAAACAGGAUUAGAUACCCGAGUAGUC